rnacentral:rRNA from 1 species
UACAGAGGGGGCAAGCGUUGUUCGGAAUUACUGGGCGUAAAGGGCGCGUAGGCGGCCUUCUAAGUCGAACGUGAAAUCCCUUGGCUCAACCGGGGAACUGCGUCCGAUACUGGUGGGCUCGAAUCCGGGAGAGGGAUGUGGAAUUCCAGGUGUAGCGGUGAAAUGCGUAGAUAUCUGGAGGAACACCGGUGGCGAAGGCGGCAUCCUGGACCGGUAUUGACGCUGAUGCGCGAAAGCCAGGGGAGCAAACGGG